AUGUCCCUAGUUGUGUUGGUUUGGAAUGUAAGGAGGCUUAAUAACCCGGCGAGGAGGUGUUCCAUCAGACUAUUCUCGCAAUCCUACAACAUCUCUCUAGUGUGCUUUCAAGAAUCUAAAUUGGCUUUGGUGAAUGGUGCGGUGGUGUGUGAAACUCUAGGCCCUGCCUUUGAUGGUUUUGAUUAUCUGCCGGCUGAUGACACAAGAGGGGGAAUUAUUUAG
rnacentral:rRNA from 1 species